rnacentral:pre_miRNA from 1 species
AAUAAGUACAGUUGUGGGGAUCUGUGUCCAACGUUUGACCGUCCGUCUUAUUUAAAAAAUUUAUAAAAAAAUAAAAAAAAUAGUCACACAUAAAGUAUUAUUAAUGUGUUAUCAUCUAAUAACAAUAAGAAUACUAAUUAUAAAAAAUUUUCAAAUAAGAUAAAUGGUUAAACGUUAAAUAUAAACAGU